UACGGGGGGGGCAAGCGUUGUUCGGAAUUACUGGGCGUAAAGGGCGAGUAGGCGGGUGGACAAGUCUCUCGUGAAAGCCCACGGCUCAACCGUUGAAUUGCGGGAGAUACUGUCUGUCUUGAGUCCGGGAGAGGAGGGUGGAAUUCCCAGUGUAGCGGUGAAAUGAGUAGAUAUUGGGAGGUACACAGGUGGCUAAGGCGGCUCUCUGGACCGGUACUGACGCUGAGGCGCGAAACCUAUGAGAGCAAACGUC
rnacentral:rRNA from 1 species